rnacentral:sRNA from 1 species
GGAUGAAAGGGAAAUCUGGUUUGAUUACAUCAUCCUAUUGGAUGAGUUAUCUCGUCAUCAGGAAGGUGAUCCCUGCUUCCUCAUCUCUCCAAAUGCAUCUCUCCCAAAGCUGCUCAUGCCCCAGAUGGAGGACACAGCUUUGCUCAGGAGUAUGUGAGGAGUUUCAUUUCUCUGUCGGAGGCUCGAAAAAAUACUUUUUGAAUGUAAUUAGAUCAACAGAGAAGAUCUAAGAAUAAUGUACAAGUCAGGCAGAGAGGGCCAGGCCCGCUAGAUGGUGCCAAUUUU